UCUCUUCUUCACGCCUCUGUCUCUCUCCUCCCUCCUCUCUCCUCUCUCAUCUUCUUCACGAUUCUCUUGAUCUGCAUCAAUUUUUCUCGCAAAUUUUCAUUGCUAAUUCUUUCGUUAAUGUUAUAUUGAUUUCUUUGAUGAUUUUUUUGGUUAAGUUGAUUUGAAAUUGAGUAUUUUUAUGGUUGAUCUGUGAUUUCAUUUUUGAUUCGUUGCAGAGAACUGCGUAAUUUGGGAGAUGAACAAAGAUCGACCAUCUGAUCCUCUUGAUUUCUUCAUCUGCACUGUUGAGGAUUGCAGGCCUCCUGUUUUGUUCAUCAUUCCUCUUACCUUUGUUGAAUCUCUUAAGUCCGCUGCUUUUCAAUGGCUUCCACUACAGAACAAGCUGAACGCUAUGAUGCUCCUGAAAACCUGAGCAAUUUAAUCAACUGGGUUGCUGAAGUUCGAAAAAAGGAGAGUGACAAGAAUGGGAGGGAACUUGUGACUGACGAUGAAUGGAGAAGGUUGGUCACUAAGGUUGGAACUUUUCUGAUUCCUUUUCAGAUUAACCUUCAAUAAUUUUAGGUAUUCUUCAUAUUCUGUAUUGUUAU